UGACUCUCGGCAACGGAUAUCUCGGCUCUCGCAUCGAUGAAGAACGUAGCGAAAUGCGAUACUUGGUGUGAAUUGCAGAAUCCCGUGAACCAUCGAGUUUUUGAACGCAAGUUGCGCCCGAAGCCGUCAGGCCGAGGGCACGUCUGCCUGGGUGUCACGUAACGUCGCCAAAAAUUCUCUCACCCCUUCUAACGGGGAACAAUGAGGACCGGCGGAUAUUGGCCUCCCGUUCGCGUACGCUUGCGGUUGGCCCAAAAUAAGCUUCCCGGCGCGGCAGCCACGACACGCGGUGGUUUGUAGCACAUGCUCCUUUUAACACCGUCGUGGGCUAUAGCCCUGUAGACCGGGAGCCAAAGACCCCGACGCAGAGCGUCCUCGUAAAGCGACCCCAGGUCAGGCGGGAACACCCGCUGAGUUUAAG
rnacentral:rRNA from 1 species